rnacentral:rRNA from 1 species
GAUGAACGCUGGCGGCGUGCCUAACACAUGCAAGUCGAGCGAACAGACGACAAGCUUUCUUCUCUGAUGUUAGCGGCGGCCGGGUGGUUAAUACCUCGAUAAUCUACCUCUACGACUUUGAUAACUUCGGCAAACCGGAGCUAAUACCGGAUGAUAUUCUGGACCUCUUGCUUCAUGAGUCUGAGACGGUCUUUCUGUCGCUUAUAGAUGGAUUCGCGCUGCAUUAGCUAGUUGGUAAGGUAACGGCUUACCAAGGCGACGAUGCAUAGCCGACCUGAGAGGGGGAUCGGCCACACUAGAACUGAGACGAGGUCCAGAAUCCUACGGGAGGCAGCAGUAGGGAAUCUUCUGCAAUAGGCGAAAGACGGACGGAGCAACGCCGCGUGAGUGAUGAAGGUCUUCGGAUCGUAAAGCUCUGUUAUUAGGGAAGAACAUAUGUGUAAGCAACUGUGCACAUCUUGACGGUACCUAAUUAGAAAGCCACGGCUAACUACGUG